AUACCGUUUUUCGUUUUUUGGUUAGUAUUGAGUGCAGUGUCUCUUUUUACCAGUUUAGUAUUUGAUACGUUUAUACAAGGGCAGUAUAUUAAGUGGGUUUUGAGGAAUAGGAGAUGGAAUAAGGGUUUAUUCUGUACUCCACGCAUCGGUCUUGUAUUGCAGUACUUCCAGAAACGGUGCACUUUUG
rnacentral:snRNA from 1 species